rnacentral:rRNA from 1 species
UACGUAGGGUGCAAGCGUUGUCCGGAUUUAUUGGGCGUAAAGAGCUUGUAGGCGGCUCGUCGCGUCGGGUGUGAAAACUUGCGGCUUAACCGCAAGCCUGCACCCGAUACGGGCGGGCUGGAGUUUGGCAGGGGAGACUGGAAUUCCUGGUGUAGCGGUGGAAUGCGCAGAUAUCAGGAGGAACACCGGUGGCGAAGGCGGGUCUCUGGGCCGAUACUGACGCUGAGAAGCGAAAGCGUGGGGAGCGAACAGG